AUUGAACGCUGGCGGCAUGCUUUACACAUGCAAGUCGAACGGUAACAGGGUGCUUGCACCGCUGACGAGUGGCGAACGGGUGAGUAAUGCGUCGGAACGUGCCGAGUAGUGGGGGAUAACGCAUCGAAAGGUGUGAUAAUACCGCAUACGUACUGAGGUAGAAAGUGGGGGACCUUCGGGCCUCACGCUAUUCGAGCGGCCGACGUCUGAUUAGCUAGUUGGGUAGGUAAAGGCUCACCAAGGCGACGAUCGGUAGCGGGUCGGAGAGGAUGAGCCGCCACACUGGGACUGAGACACGACCCAGACUCCUACGGGAGGCAGCAGUGGGGAAUUUUGGACAAUGGGCGCAAGCCUGAUCCAGCCAUGCCGCGUGUCUGAAGAAGGCCUUCGGGUUGUAAAGGACUUUUGUCCGGGAGCAAAUACCCAGUGCUAAUAACGCUGGGGGCUGAGAGUACCGGAAGAAUAAGCACCGGCUAACUACGUGCCAGCAGCCGCGGUAAGAC
rnacentral:rRNA from 1 species